rnacentral:rRNA from 2 species
CUGGUGGUUAUGGCGGAGGUGAACCACCCGACCCCAUUCCGAACUCGGUCGUGAAACCCUUUAGCGCUGAUGGUACUGCGUCUUAAGGCGUGGGAGAGUAGGUCGCUGCCAG